rnacentral:rRNA from 1 species
GCAUAUCUCAUAGUUGCCGAUAGGACCUUAAUGGGUGGCACAAAAUCGGAGGCCCCGACUGUUUACUAAAAACACAAUUCAGAGCAAUGAUGAAAAAUCAUAGUAUUCUGGAUGAAAUUUGCCCAAUGCCAUUAACAUAAAAGAGGUUAUGGGUAACUGUAACUGAUUGAAAGUCUGGUUAAUAGCGGUCUUAACUAUGAGGAUCCAAAGGUAGCAAAAUAAAUUGGCCAUUAAAUGUGGUCUGGUAUCAAUAGUGUAACGAUGGUCUCACUGUCUCUACAACUUGCUCAGUGGAAAUUGAAUUACCCGUGCAGAUGCCGGGUUGCUCAGUGGACGG